rnacentral:rRNA from 1 species
UGGGGAAUAUUGGACAAUGGGCGAAAGCCUGAUCCAGCAAUGCCGCGUGAGUGAUGAAGGCCUUAGGGUUGUAAAGCUCUUUUACCAGGGAUGAUAAUGACAGUACCUGGAGAAUAAGCUCCGGCUAACUCCGUGCCAGCAGCCGCGGUAAUACGGAGGGAGCUAGCGUUGUUCGGAAUUACUGGGCGUAAAGCGCACGUAGGCGGCUUUUCAAGUCAGGGGUGAAAUCCCGGGGCUCAACCCCGGAACUGCCCUUGAAACUGGAUGGCUAGAAUACUGGAGAGGUGAGUGGAAUUCCGAGUGUAGAGGUGAAAUUCGUAGAUAUUCGGAAGAACACCAGUGGCGAAGGCGACUCACUGGACAGUUAUUGACGCUGAGGUGCGAAAGCGUGGGGAGCAAACAGGAUUAGAUAC